ACUGGGCUUAAAGAGUUCGUAGGUGGUUGAAAAAGUUGGUGGUGAAAUCCCAGAGCUUAACUCUGGAACUGCCAUCAAAACUUUUCAGCUAGAGUAUGAUAGAGGAAAGCAGAAUUUCUAGUGUAGAGGUGAAAUUCGUAGAUAUUAGAAAGAAUACCAAUUGCGAAGGCAGCUUUCUGGAUCAUUACUGACACUGAGGAACGAAAGCAUGGGUAGCGAAGAGGAUUAGAUACCCUCGUAGUCCAUGCCGUAAACGAUGUGUGUUAGACGUUGGAAAUUUAUUUUCAGUGUCGCAGGGAAACCGAUAAACACACCGCCUGGGGAGUACGACCGCAAGGUUAAAACUCAAAUGAAUUGACGGGGACCCGCACAAGUAGUGGAGCAUGUGGUUUAAUUCGAAGAUACGCGCAGAACCUUACCAACACUUGACAUGUUCGUCGCGACUCUAAGAGAUUAGAGUUUUCGGUUCGGCUGGACGAAACACAGGUGCUGCAUGGCUGUCGUCAGCUCGUGUCGUGAGAUGUUGGGUUAAGUCCCGCAACGAGCGCAACCCUCACUUUUAGUUGCCAUCAUUAAGUUGGGCACUCUGAAAGAACUGCCAGUGAUAAGCUGGAGGAAGGUGGGGAUGACGUCAAGUCCUCAUGGCCCUUACGUGUUGGGCUACACACGUGCUACAAUGGCAUCUACAAUAGGAAGCAAAACGGCAACGUUAAGCAAAUCCCGAAAAGAUGCCUCAGUUCGGAUUGCACUCUGCAACUCGAGUGCAUGAAGCUGGAAUUACUAGUAAUCGUGGAUCAGCGUGCCACGGUGAAUGCGUUCCCGGGUCUUGUACACACCGCCCGUCACACCAUGGGAGUUGGUUCUACCUUAAGGCAAGGUUUUAAACCCUUGACCACGGUAUAGUCAGCGACUGGGGUGAAGUCGUAACAAGGUAACCAAGGGC
rnacentral:rRNA from 1 species